AAAGUGUACAUGGAAUCAAGUAAAAGACAAGUUGUAAUUAAGACAUAAAUAUCGAAUGUUGAUUGAAUGAAAGAUAUUUAGGGAUUUUGCUAAAAAUAUUGAUUUGGAAGUAAAGUAAAUGUAUAAAGGAAAUAUUGAUUGAUUCAAGGGCUAGAUACCAAUUUACACUCGCUUGUGCUGAUUAAGGUGGGCCAUGCUCUAUCGGUAAAUUAGGAUACCAAUUUACAUUUCUCUUGUGCUGAUUAAAGAGGGGCGAUGCCCUAUCGGUAGAUUAAGAUAAGUGUUGGCCAAACUACCUUUUGGUUUUGCAAUGGGAGAACUUAAGUAAUCCAGCUGAAUCGGAAAAUUGUCCAGCAUUGAAAUGUUGCUUUUAAGUCUCAAGUCCAAAAUCCUAAUAUUUUGUUUGUAUUUUGUACAUUUAGAGAGCGAAGAAUGGUAUUGCUCAUAAAUGUUAAAUGUUUAAAUUUUAGAGGAAAUCGAUUUAUGCACUAAAAUUGAACAAAUUAUGUCUCCGUCAUAUUUAUGAUGUCCGAUGAAAUUUUCACCUGAGAAGAAUUGGCUAAAACAGAAAGACUGAAAAUUGUAUGUAGUAUAUAAGAAUAUGGACUGAAAUUAGUGUUUAAUAGAAGAGUAAGAUGCUGAAUGAAUGCAUUUAAAGAAUAUUCAAAAUAAGAAUAAAGCAAAAUAAUAUACAACAAUGAA